GACGAACGCUGGCGGCGUGCUCAACACGUGCAAGUCGAACGCUGAAGCUUGGUGCUUGCACUGGGUGGAUGAGUGGCGAACGGGUGAGUAAUACGUGAGUAACCUGCCCUUGACUCUGGGAUAAGCCUGGGAAACUGGGUCUAAUACUGGAUACGACAUGUCACCGCAUGGUGGUGUGUGGAAAGGGUUUUACUGGUUUUGGAUGGGCUCACGGCCUAUCAGCUUGUUGGUGGGGUAAUGGCUCACCAAGGCGACGACGGGUAGCCGGCCUGAGAGGGUGACCGGCCACACUGGGACUGAGACACGGCCCAGACUCCUACGGGAGGCAGCAGUGGGGAAUAUUGCACAAUGGGCGGAAGCCUGAUGCAGCGACGCCGCGUGAGGGAUGACGGCCUUCGGGUUGUAAACCUCUUUCAGCACGGAAGAAGCGAAAGUGACGGUACGUGCAGAAGAAGCGCCGGCUAACUACGUG
rnacentral:rRNA from 1 species